CUACGGGCUGCUGCAGUGAGGAAUAUUGCACAAUGGGGGGAACCCUGAUGCGGCAACGCCGCGUGGAGGAUGACGCAUUUCGGUGUGUAAACUCCUUUUAUAUGUCAAGAAAAUGACGGUAGCAUAUGAAUAAGCACCGGCUAACUCCGUGCCAGCAGCCGCGGUAAUACGGAGGGUGCAAGCGUUACUCGGAAUCACUGGGCGUAAAGGACGCGUAGGCGGGUUGGAAAGUCAGGUGUGAAAUCCUACAGCUUAACUGUAGAACUGCACUUGAAACUUCUAAUCUAGAGUAUAGGAGGGGGAGAUGGAAUUAGUGGUGUAGGGGUAAAAUCCGUAGAUAUCACUAGGAAUACCUAAAGCGAAGGCGAUCUCCUGGAACAUUACUGACGCUAAGGCGUGAAAGCGUGGGGAGCAAACAGGAUUAGAUACCCCGGUAGUC
rnacentral:rRNA from 1 species